GUUGAACGCUGGCGGCAGGCCUAACACAUGCAAGUCGAGCGGAUGAAGGGAGCUUACUCCUGGAUUCAGCGGCGGACGGGUGAGUAAUGCCUAGGAAUCUGCCUGGUAGUGGGGGAUAACGUCCGGAAACGGGCGCUAAUACCGCAUACGUCCUGAGGGAGAAAGUGGGGGAUCUUCGGACCUCACGCUAUCAGAUGAGCCUAGGUCGGAUUAGCUAGUUGGUGGGGUAAAGGCCUACCAAGGCGACGAUCCGUAACUGGUCUGAGAGGAUGAUCAGUCACACUGGAACUGAGACACGGUCCAGACUCCUACGGGAGGCAGCAGUGGGGAAUAUUGGACAAAGGGCGAAAGCCUGAUCCAGCCAUGCCGCGUGUGUGAAGAAGGUCUUCGGAUUGUAAAGCACUUUAAGUUGGGAGGAAGGGCAGUAAGUUAAUACCUUGCUGUUUUGACGUUACCAACAGAAUAAGCACCGGCUAACUUCGUG
rnacentral:rRNA from 1 species